rnacentral:lncRNA from 1 species
UUGUUUAUUUGACUGCAGACAAUCUUCCUCCUGUUGCGCUGCCAGAUGAUAGAGUUGUUGAGAUACAAGGAGAACCAAACGGAACACAUAAAGCAGUUGAACUAAUUGCAACUCAUUUAAGGAAGUAUCUAGUAGAUCGCAGUGUUCUUCCUUUGUUUGAAAAGCGUGUAAGUUGAUUUUCUCUAGCAUGGUACUGAAAAAAUUCUAAUUGUGCAAUUUAACGAACUUGUUCAAGUUUUACUUUUCUUUUGAUGUCUUGUGACUUCAAACUUGUUGUCUAGUUGUCAUUGUCAAAUGUGCACAUGGAACAGAACAUGCCCGCCGCUCAAACUUGGAGCCAACCCCAAGGUCUCCCCCCUAAUUCUGGUGGCUUAGGCUAUGGUGGCAACCCUCAGUUCAUUCCUCCACGGCCACAUCAUAAUUUUUACCCUCCACCAGAACGUCCCCUUUUAGAAAAGCAACCCCAUCAUGGUAUAUCUUUGUAUGGGCAAAACACAUCUCCAAUGGGCAUUCACUCGGCAGCAAAUCAACAUGCACCAACAAUGAUUUCUCAGGUAGUCUAUGUUCGUCAGGCAUUACCAAAAGCAUGGGCAAUUGUAACUGCUCUUUUUGUGAAUAUAUUUCAAUUACAUAUUUCUGAUGGAUUCUUUACAGGUUACACAGCAUAUGCAGAUUUCGCUUUCAUAUGCUGAUGCUGUAAUUGGAGAAGCUGGUGCAAAUAUUAGCUACAUCCGUCGUUCUAGUGGGGCAACCAUAACCAUACAAGAAUCAAGGGGGGUCCCAGGAGAGAUGACUGUUGAGAUUACUGGCAGUGCUACACAAGUUCAAACUGCUCAGCAGUUGAUACAGGUACAGUCCAUAAACCUAUAUCCUGGAUAAUCUAUUUUUUUAUGUUAGAUAUAUUUAAUUAUUUUAAUGAAAAACUCAAGGCAUGCCUUGUUACCAUGUGCUUUUGCUUUGCAACAUGGGUCACCAAGGUUUGAAUCAUGAGCAUAUUUUUUUUAUAUGUAGGGGGUUGGCUGCAUGUAUUACUCCCUAGACCCUGCAGGGACAGAGCCUCAUGCUUUAGGCUGUAUGCAUUUGUUGUUAAAGAACUUUCUUAUUUCCUUGGUAUUUCAUGUUGGAAUUUCACCAACUCAAGCUUUAUUAUUUCUUCUAGGUUUCAGUCAGCGGUCUGCUUAUUUUUUGUUUGCUACUUGCUAUUUUUUAAAUCGAAAGAAAGUAUAUGGCUAUUUUGUAAUUUUAUUCAUUUUUAAACUUUUUAUAGUAUAAAGUUUUUUUGGUCCCAUGUAUGUCUAUCCAGUACAUUUUUCGUGUAUUUUAUGCAUGUAUUUAAGGUGGCUUCUGUCUUCUAAAGAACUUCUGCUAUUUUGGAAGAUAUAUAUCAUAAAUCUGAAGAAAAUAUCUUACUAGCACAAUAUAUGGCUAUUGUUUGCUACUUGCUAUUUUUUAAAUCGAAAGAAAUUAUAUGGCUAUUUUGUAAUUUUAUUCAUUUUUUAAAACUUUUUAUAGUAUAAAGUUUUUUUCCCCAUGUAUGUCUAUCCAGUACAAUUUUUGUGUAUUUUAUGCAUGUAUUUAAGGUGUCUUCUGUCUCUAAAUAACUUACAAUGCUUCUGCUAUUGUGGAAGAUACAUACCAUAAAUCUGAAGAAAAGAUCUUGCUAGCACAAUUGGCUGAAAAGAGGUGGGAGAAACAUGAAAUUAAUCUAUCCUAGAAAAGAAGCUUGGGGCUGCCAUUUCAUGCAGAUUAUAAGCAAAUUUUUAUCAUCGGUACUUCCAAUAUUUAUGUGAUUGACCAUUGGGUCUAUUGUACCCUUAUCUGCAAGUAGCACAACUAAACAUGCCUAUCAUUCGUCAUCCUUUUACCUCUAGUGUGAACACAAUUCUCCAUGUUGGCUCCAUGAAUCUUAUUGCAGUGUGCUUGAAUCAUCCAUGAUUUUUUUUUUUUUUGUGGUUUGUGUAGUCCAGAUGAAAAUAAGUGUAGAUUUUGGAUUCACCUUUCGGAGAAAACUAGAAUUGAAUUGUAUGCAAUUGUUGUAUGUAAGACAACUCAAACAAUGAAUGUCUUACAUGAUGUUUAGAACUCAUGAUUAGAAAGUAUCCCGCUAGCAUAUUGGAGAUGGGAAUUUGAUCUUUAUUGGUGGACUUGUCUCACUAACAAAACUAGUAUAAUUGCAUAUGAAGGUUUUUCCUCACUUCUGUUCAUUGUCUUUUACCUCAUAAAUUUUUUUUACCUCUAGCGGGCUAAAUCAUCUGUUUAUGUUGCAGAAUUUCAUGGCUGCAGCUGCAGCUCCUCAGCCGAGCACAGUAGGUUCCAGCGAUCAUGGUUACAGUUCAUAUCAAGCUCAUGGCCCGAUGUACGGAUCUCCAGCCAAUGCUGGACCCUAUGGUUCCUCAACCUAUGGAGCAAACUAUGGGUAUUAGGGAAUAUUUGGAAGGUUUAAAGAGUCGACAAGCAUGUCCGGUGCACUUACCCUAUAAAAAGACCGAGUCUGUAGAUGGGGAUUUAGUUUUGGAUUUUUAUUAUGGUCCUCUUGUUUGUUUUGUGCCAAGAGAUAAUUUGAUGACAUUCUUGCUGUAUCGUCGUGUGCUACAGUGUCAACUGGUCAGGCCAUCGGUUGCAAUGAAAGCACAUUGCAGGUUGUGAAUCUUUGAUGGAUCAAUCAUUUGGUGGCUGAUUGGAUUUGUAGGGUAGAGAAACGGAGCGAAAAUAAAAAUUAUUUGGUGUCGUCGUAGUGACUGUUGCUUUCUUCAUCGGUAGUACAAAUUUGGGAAAAAGAAAAGAAAAACUAGUACUCGGUAUGGACGGGAAGAACCCGUUUUUGGCCUGUGGCUUCUUAAGCCUAUUGUGUGUCUCGACUAAAGUUAUAUGAACGCGUUGUUUCAUAUGCCAAAAACGAUUAGUUUCUUUGGGUUUUGAAGCACCAGUAUGACUUGGUUGAUGCACAAAUGCUAGCCGGAGCCUGGAGCUUUGGAGAACGUCGAUGCUUAAGUAUCAACGUUGAUGUGGUCGGAUCCGGAUGUUGUCGGGUUGAAGAAUGUAAAGUCCGAACUAGGUUGCUGUGUUGGGUGGGUGACGGCAAUCCAAACAAACACAAGGACAGCACAUAACAACUUAAUUUAUGGGUACGGAUAAAUAAAAUAAAAUAAAAUAAAAUUCCCAUGGCAUUGGUGGGAUCGGAAAUUAAUUUAAGAUCAAAUUUUCCCGCUCCCUUUCCGCCCUCGUCAGGUUUGCCACUCCAUAUAAACCCCCAACCCCAACACCACCACCAAUCCCCCCUCCAUUCUUUCUCUCUCUCUCUCUCCAUGUUCGUUGGAUUUGGAAGCCGACGGCGGACGAUUCUGAAAGCGGAUCACGCAAGGUGAAGGUCUCGUUUCUCGCCUUUUCGCCAGUUCUUGAUCUGACCGGUUGAUUUCUUCAUUUUGUCUUGGAACCAACGAUUUCAGGAGGAGGAGGAGGAGGAAGAGGAGCCCACCACGCGGUCUGCCUCGUCGAUGCCUCCAUUGCCGCUGCCCUGGUGACCUCUCUCUCUCUCUGUCUCUCUCUCUCUCUCUCUGACAGUUUCGCUUAGGGUAGAUUAGUCACCAAGCAUGGUGGGGCCGUUUAAUACACGUGGAUGUAGAGUUGUUAUGGCGUCCAAACAGAUCCAAAUCGGUAUCAGAGAUUUGAAUUCGUAAUAUCCCAUAUAUAUGUAUAAGUCUUUAUAGUCAAUUGGUCAUUUUGAUAAAAAUAAUUUUUUUUUUUUUUUUACAUUAAUGCCAUCAAAAAGCUCUCUAACAUGAUAUAAGUUCCGUCACACCCCAAAAUAAUGUUCCAAAGGUGUAAAAUUAUCUUAAAUAAAAAUAUAAUUUAUCUGUAAUUCAGUAUCCAAGAUAUAAUAUUUGAGAACACUAAACAUAUUAAAUUCUCAUUUGUAUCUAUAGAAUUUGUAUAGUUUAUAAUCAUUCAAUACAUCACAUCACUUGAUAACUUCUUAAAAUCUAAUAUCAACUAAAAAAUCAUUAAUAAUCCAUUUAUAAACCCAUGAGAGUAAGAAUUAAUAUAAUCGUAAAAUUAAUCAUUUAUCAUAAGUUAAGUUUAUAUCAACAAAGAAUUUCAAAACUUAAUAUUUUAAACUUUUUAAAUAUGAGGUCUUUUAACCUUUACAAGAUAUAUGGAUUUGGAUUUGUUUGAAAAUACAUUAUAAACAAAGUGUACUUUUACACUAAAAUCAUGUUAAGUCACCAAAGAUUUGUCAAAAUCUUUUGGCAUUCCUUUGUCUUAAUCCAAUCCUUAACAUUUCAAUGAGUGACAAAUUAAUCUGAAAAUUUUAUAUCUCAUUUAAUACAAAUGAGAAUUUGACACACUUAGUAUUCUCAAAUGGUAUAUCUUAGAUCCAAGUUUAGAUUAUGUAUGAAUCAUAAUUUCUUGAUUAAAGAUAAAUUUAUAUUUCUUGAAUGUUAUUUUAAGAGUGUGACAGUAACACAGAACGAUGAACCAACCCAAAUUGGUUUGGAGUCCACGAUACACAUGUUGGACAAUUAAAAUUCACGUCCAACCAAAAUCUAUCUUAAUAAAACACUUAAAGCUCCAAUCAGAAUCUCGAGUACAUGUGGAUGAUCUAAACGUGUGAGAGCAUUCAUAUGUUACGUUACAAAAUUAUAACUUUGUUCCGCUAGACAAUUAUUUAUUCGUGAGACCAACAAAGAGAAAGCCAUGGUGAUAACUUGAGUCACACUUACCAUAGCAUGACGACAGUUUCAAGGGGGUCCUCACAACCCAAAUCCACAACUCUUCAGUGCCACCUUCGGAGGGACAACUCAUUCUGGAAGAUUGUGACGCGGCUGCUGCUCACAACACCAUAAGUUGGCAUCUCAGCCAAUCUAUGCACCAAUCAAGGCUUGACCUGUACAGAGACAGCUUACAUUUAGGCGACAUCAAUACAAUAACACCCAUAGAUUCAUACCAGAUGUCAGGAGGUGGUGGGGCAAAAGGAUUGACCGUCUCAAGCUCUCUCCAAUGAUCUGAUCAUGGGGUAGCAGUCUAAUAAACAACCAAUCAAAAAGAAAAUUGAGAACGAAAUUAUAUGUAAUAACAAAAGAUCGAGGAUGAUAUAUAUAUACAAGUCAAUAUCGAUCAGUAAUUUUGUUGUUGUUUUUCAGAUAUAUAUUAGAAAAAAAAAAAUAAUUAAAAUUUGACUGUUUUAUGUACCUUUAUCCUUUCCUCUUUUUUUUUUUUCAUCUUAUGAUGCAGCGCUGACCUCAAAAGCUAUUCUCAUUUUGCAUGCUCCCACCACCCGUUUUUUUCUGU